GAUGAACGCUGGCGGCGUGCCUAAUACAUGCAAGUCGAGCGAACAGACGAGGAGCUUGCUCCUUUGACGUUAGCGGCGGACGGGUGAGUAACACGUGGGUAACCUACCUAUAAGACUGGGAUAACUUCGGGAAACCGGAGCUAAUACCGGAUAAUAUUUCGAACCGCAUGGUUCGAUAGUGAAAGAUGGCUUUGCUAUCACUUAUAGAUGGACCUGCGCCGUAUUAGCUAGUUGGUAAGGUAACGGCUUACCAAGGCAACGAUACGUAGCCGACCUGAGAGGGUGAUCGGCCACACUGGAACUGAGGCACGGUCCAGACUCCUACGGGAGGCAGCAGUAGGGAAUCUUCCGCAAUGGGCGAAAGCCUGACGGAGCAACGCCGCGUGAGUGAUGAAGGUCUUCGGAUCGUAAAACUCUGUUAUUAGGGAAGAACAAACGUGUAAGUAACUGUGCACGUCUUGACGGUACCUAAUCAGAAAGCCACGGCUAACUACGUG
rnacentral:rRNA from 1 species